AACGAACGCUGGCGGCAGGCCUAACACAUGCAAGUCGAACGCUCGUAGCAAUACGAGAGUGGCAGACGGGUGAGUAACACGUGGGAACCUUCCCUAUGGUUCGGAAUAGCUCAGGGAAACUUGGGGUAAUACCGGAUAAGCCCUUCGGGGAAGGAUUUAUCGCCAUUGGAUGGGCCCGCGUAGGAUUAGCUAGUUGGUGAGGUAAAGGCUCACCAAGGCGACGAUCCUUAGCUGGUCUGAGAGGAUGAUCAGCCACACUGGGACUGAGACACGGCCCAGACUCCUACGGGAGGCAGCAGUGGGGAAUAUUGGACAAUGGGCGCAAGCCUGAUCCAGCCAUGCCGCGUGAGUGACGAAGGUCUUCGAUUGUAAACUCUUUUGGCGGGACGAUAAUGACGGUACCCGCAGAAUAAGCCCCGCUAACUUCGUGCCAGCAGCCGCCGUAA
rnacentral:rRNA from 1 species